CCUACGGGAGGCAGCAGUGAGGAAUAUUGGUCAAUGGACGCGAGUCUGAACCAGCCAAGUAGCGUGAAGGAUGACUGCCCUAUGGGUUGUAAACUUCUUUUAUAUGGGAAUAAAAUGUUCCACGUGUGGGAUUUUGUAUGUAUCAUAUGAAUAAGGAUCGGCUAACUCCGUGCCAGCAGCCGCGGUAAUACGGAGGAUUCGAGCGUUAUCCGGAUUUAUUGGGUUUAAAGGGAGCGUAGGUGGAUUGUUAAGUCAGUUGUGAAAGGUUGCGGCUCAACCGUAGAAUUGCAGUUGAAACUGGCAGUCUUGAGUACAGUAGAGGUGGGCGGAAGUCGUGGUGUAGCGGUGAAAUGCUUAGAUAUCACGAAGAACUCCGAUUGCAAAGGCAGCUCACUGGACUGCAACUGACACUGAGGCUCGAAAGUGUGGGUAUCAAACAGGAUUAGAUACCCCUGUAGU
rnacentral:rRNA from 1 species